rnacentral:rRNA from 1 species
UACGGGGGGGGCAAGCGUUGUUCGGAAUUACUGGGCGUAAAGGGCUCGUAGGCGGCUCGCUAAGUCAGACGUGAAAGCUCUCGGCUUAACCGGGGAACGGCGUCUGAGACUGGCAAGCUUGAAUCCGGGAGAGGGAUGCGGAAUUCCAGGUGUAGCGGUGAAAUGCGUAGAUAUCUGGAGGAACACCGGUGGCGAAGGCGGCAUCCUGGACCGGUAUUGACGCUGAGGAGCGAAAGCCAGGGGAGCAAACGGG